rnacentral:lncRNA from 1 species
AUAAACGGUCCCUUCAAAUUGUCCACAACGAUCAGUUGAACACCUCAACUAAGAUUAUUUCCAACUAAACACUUCAAGUGGCUAUUAAGUAGGUCAAGUAAACACCUGAGUACAUCAGACCAUAUGCGUGAGUUGCACUUGCCGAUGCCAUGGCAAAUGAACCAAUUAAAAAAUAACACGUGACGCCAUAAGAAUUUGACACAUGUAAUUAGCAAAAAAAUACUUUUGAAAAAGAAAAAAACUUCUCCUAAACCAGCGUUCCUCCUUCCCCUAACUCUUCUUCCAAGCUUUCUCAAACCCUUCCACUUACUCGUUGAACCCAUGACCACUAUUUCAUCUGCAAAAAAUUGGGCAAAGAAAAAUUUAGAUUCAACCUUGAAGGUUCUAAUAACUAUGGUGCAAAACGGUCCAUGAGCAAGAACACAGUUGCUUUACACAUUGUGUUUUCAUUCUUGCUCUCUGCCAUUGAAAAAGAAGAAGAAGAAGAAUUCUGGCGUUCUUCCAUUUUGUCCCCUGAUUUUUUUUCUUCUGGGAUUUCAACAAGAAAAGGCUUCUGGUUCUCACCGUUUCACGUAGCUUUGUAAUCUCACAAACACAAGCAUCAACUGCUGUUGCCAUUUUCUCUUUUGGGCAAAGUUUCUCUCUUUCUUUUUCUCUUUGCUUAUGUAAGUAAUCUUGAAAAUAUAUAAAACUCAGAUAUGAAAUUGAAAAGCGAAAAAGGGUCUACUUAUAUAAUAUGAAAUCAGAAGCUUUGGUGGGGUAUGACAUUGGUUUGCUUUGGGUUUUCUUGUUUUUCAUUUGUGGUGAAAUAUUUGUUGAAGAAGGAGAAGUAAAGAUAAAGG